rnacentral:lncRNA from 1 species
CUGUGUAGUCUCGGAACAGACCGCAAGUGAAAGCCAGGACAAACAGGGCUAGAGCCGGCCACCAGGACCGUGUGCUCUGAACGGUGGCUCCGGGCUGCGGCUGCGCGGAGAAGGCUGCAUGCUUAGGAGGCAAGUGUUGUGGCCGUGAAUGUGCUGAGCAGGGAGAGGGACUCAAGUACUGGGAGACGUGGCCGCGUCCUGAGGGACUCACGGUGUAGGAGGGCAAACGCGACAGCCAGAGAAACAACUGUCCUCUCAGUUACGCCGUGUGAAAAGCCGCCCUGUGUCCCGGGGCUGUCCCCAGACCAGGCCUAGUGCACCAUGGGCUGGUCCCUGCACAUCUCCAGAGCUCCCGGGGUCCAUGGCAGGCGCAGACACAAUCAUGGGCUGUGGACGGCACACGGAGCUGGUUCAGAGGCCGCAGUGCAUUCCUGCUCAGGCUGCUCCAAGAGGACACAGAGGAGUUAACUUAGAGCUCGUGUUGAUCCACUAUUGUACUUGGAGAAAAUCAUAUGGCCACGUGACAUGCAUGUUGGUGCCCGUUGUAGGUGAUGUGGUCUCAUCCUGACCAUCACAUGGCUCUUUAAAUCCUAAGAGACAUCGCAGGAUCUCACUGUGUAGCCCAGGCUGGGCUAAAAGUUGCUGUGAAUCUCUUGCCUCAGCCUCCCGAGUGCUGGGAUUACAGGUGUGCACCACCAUGCCCAGCUCAGUAAGAAGCAUCUUAUGUUUGUGAGACAUUUGGUUCUUUUCAAAGGACUCUAAAAUGUGUUUGCACUUUAUUAUACUAUAAUUUAUGAGAGGUACAGAAAGUGGAGUUUUAUAUGUUAAAGGUAGAAGCUGAAAGUAGUUCAGGAUUCUGGUUUGCCAUGGGGCCCUGCCUACAUUUUUGUAUUUUCAGUUACACUGUUAUGGCUUGUGUAUAGAUGUCCCCCCCCAGAGUCUUAUACAGUUAUAGGAGGGGCUUUUUCGGAGGUGGCUGGAUCUAGAGUGUGUGACUCUGGAAAUGAUUUGUGGUGCAAUGCUAGGCAUUGAUUCCCGGUAUAAGGGCACUAGGAUUAAGGGUGUGAGUGCUGCCUGCUCUAAGUAGCCUGGAUAAGACAUAAGGGACAGGAAGAGCUGUGGUUUUCCCUUGUUGCUUUGCUGCCUUCUGCCUGCCAUGGACUGUUUCUCCUCUGCCAUCCCGCCCUGCCUUGGAGCCAACUGAUUAUGGGCUGCAACCUCUACAGAUUGUGA